UUUUAAACUACAACUCUGGCAUGCCACUACUUUUUCCAAAAUUUUGGAGAUAAAUGGAAGUUUAGAUAUGGGCCUGUAGUUUUUAGGUUCUGAAGGGUCAAGAUUGGGCUUUUUAAGGAUCGGGUUUACCACAGCGUGUUUGAAGUAGCUGGGGACUGAGCCAGAUG